AUGUCUUCCUCCUGUGGGUGUUUCGAGGGUCUGGCCUCAUCAGCACCUCCACUCUCUCCUUAUCUGCCCCCAGGGACACCAAGUGGAGGGGGAAGGAAGCCACCUCCCAGCCUUUGGGGAAUGCUGGGGACCUGGGGGCAGGAUGCUGAGGCAGCGGAAGCAGCACCCCAGGCUGGAGGGCAGGGUGCGGAGCCCCCUUGGUGCGGCUUCCAGGACAGAGCACCUGCUCCUGGACGAGAUGGACGAGAUGGAAAACUGGCUUCCAGAGUGAAGCUGGGGCUGCCGUGCCUGCCCUACCCCAAACCGCUGCCCUGGGGAAUGUCGCCCCUCCUCACAGGGCUGGUCAGAGAGCCCUGGGGCCAAGGGGUCUUAAGAUACAUGGUGUUCCUGUGUCUGCAGGGUGGGCCUGCACAGCAUACUCUCCCCACCUAUCAGACCCAGGCCUGGGAUGUUCAAAUAAAACUGUUUGACUUUGGCCUCCUUGGCUGCCUGUCUGGGCCCCGCCCCCACCCACAACCUGGGGACAAGCUCAGUUCCUGCAGGGUCUCCAUCGAGUCUAGUGGCCCAGGUUUGGUGCACCUGGCCUGGGGGCGGGGAGCCUUGCGGCCACAAGACCUGCCCCUCCUGCCUAAGUUCCUCAGAGGGAGGAUCCGGGAAUUCUCCUUACAGGAAGUCCCUGCCCAGCCAGUACAGGGACAAAGCCAGGAAAGCAGCCCUGGGGCCAUGGGAACCUGCCUCAGGCUGGGCUGGGGGCAGGUGAGGGGUCCCUGCCAGGCGCAGUGCCAGGCACCUCUGGGGAUCUGGGUGGAGGCAUCUGGAGGGCCCAGGUCUGCCCAGGCCCAGAAGCAACCUGGCUUUGUUGGGAUCCAGUGGGAGGGUGGGCCCUGCCCAGCUUAGACACCUGGAGGUCCUGCUGGCUCCUGGUAGGACCCUGGUGCCUUUGGUCCCCCGCUGGUCCAGGCCCUGAGUCUCCACACACGUGCGAGAGCUCGCAUCGCCUGCCCGACUCCUAUCAGCACAACUGCUGUGCACAGAAGCUGGCCUGGCUUCCCCGUGGGGCCCCCUCUGGGUCUAGCCCUUGGCCUGUGGCAGAGCUGAAGUUCAGUGUCAGAGCAGGCAGCCACUCUGAAUUAUUACUGUGAUUGGUCCCAACAGCUCUCGGGUGGGCGGAUGGCCUUGCUUGGGGUUGGGGGAGGGAACUCCAGCAACCUGGCCUCCUGCCGCAGCCCUGCCCAGCCUAGUGAGGAUGGGGGGUCCCGGCCAGCCGCUGGGGCGGGGGGUGGGGGGAGACCUGGAGAAGGUAGUGAUUCACAAGUGGGCUGGGGCUUCUUUUUCUCCUGGGCUUCCCGGUCAACCCCCACCCCUGGAAUCCUUGACUCAGGCUCUGAGGUGGAGCUGGUGGAAGGGCCCAUCUGGACUGUCCCCUGAGUCAGCCGGGAGCAGCCUUGUGACCAUAUGACUCACCUGUGCCCUGAUUACUUCCUCCCAGAGUCUCAGCUGUUGGGAAGGGGGAGCUGUGGAGGGAGGCCUGUGGGCUCCCUGGUUGCGCAUAGACUCCUCUCUGCCUUCCCCCUUCCUAAUGGACCCCCAGACCCGCUGCCAGCCACACCUGGGCUGGAGGGGGUCUCCGGGCCGCCCCCUGCCCCGUUGCCUCCUGGGUGGGGCCAGCCAGCAGCUCCUGGGCACCAGCAGGCAGCAAGUGAGCCACUUGGCCGCUCAGAGAGAGCAUCUCAUCCUCGGACCCCACAAGGUUGGGGCUACCGGGGGUGAGGGGAACUGCUCCUCUCUGCUCCUCUUCCCUUGCUGUCGAGGGAAGCUCAUGGCUCCUCCUUGUCCCCCCCACCCCCUAUUCCUACAAAACUAGGGGUAGGAAGGUCCAAGGCUGGGGGGCGAUGACAGCUGGCUCCUGGACAGCUUUCUGUGGGCCUGGCCUGAAGCUCACAAGUGGCGAAGGCGGGGUGAGGUGGCCCAGGGGGAGGGGAGGCCCAGGGGCAGGGGCAGAGUGCUGGGCGCAGGCUCGCUGCCCACACGGAGACGUGCCGGGUGUUCCUGCAAGGUUUUGAGGGGACCCUGCAGAUGCAUCUGUGGGUCUGAUCUAUGACGGGGCAGGGUUUAGAGUUGUCUCCUCCUCCCCUCCAGCUGUGGCUCAAAUACUUAUUAAUCACCUACUCCAUCCUGUUCUAGGCCCGGGGAACAGAGCAGGGAACAACAUACAAAACCUUCAUGGUUCUGAGCAUUUGUUACUGCUGCUGUCGCAGACCUGGAGGGACAGGUACUAUGAGGAAAAAGGUGAGCCUGAGUCAGGGGUGCUGCUUCAGAAAGAUGGGAUGAGAAAGGACUCUCUGAGGAGGUCAGGAAUUGAGUCAGGAGCUGUGGGGAUGUUGGGGAAGGGCUUUCCAGCAGAGGGAACAGCAAGGGCAGAUGCCCUGAGGCAGAGCAGGCCUGGGGUGUUUGAGGCACCAGGAGAUUGUGGCAGAGCAGAGCCAGGGGGAGGAGGAGUAAUAGGGGUGCGAUCCGGAGGGAGGGAGAUCAUGGUCUUUGCUGAUCUCGUUUUGGGGGGUUAUUUUAUCAGACUGAGGAGUGACCUGAUGUGGUUUACAUUUUAAAGUCUCCCUUGGGAGUCCCCUCUCUGGUACAGCGGGUUAAGAACCUGACUGCGGUGGCUCCGGUUGCUGCAGAGGCAUGGAUUCAAUCCUCAGCCAGGUGCAAUGGGUUAAGGAUCCAGUGUUGCCACAGUUGCACUCAGAUUCAGUCCCUGGCCUAGAACUUCCAUAUGCCAUGGGUGCGGCCAUUAAAAAAUAAUAAUAAAAAUGUGAGGAGUUCCCAUUGUGGCUCAGUGGUUAACGAAUCCAACUAGGAACCAUGAGGUUUCAGGUUUGGUCCCUGGCCUCCCUCAGUGGGUUAAAGGAUCCAGCGUUGCCGUGAGCUAUGGUGUAGGUCCAAGACGUGGCUCAGAUCCUGGGUGGCUGUGGCUGUGGCUGUGGUGUAGGCCGGCGGCUACAGCUCUGAUUAGACCCCUAGCCCGGGAACCUCCAUAUGCCAUGUGUGUGGCCCUCAAAAGACAAUAAGUUAAGAAAAAAUAAAAGAGCUUCCAUUGUGGUGCAGUGGAAAUGAAUCAGACUAGGAACCAUGAGGUUGCAGGUUCAAUCCCUGGCCUAGCUCAGUGGCUUAAGGAUCUGGCGUUGCCAUGAGUUGUGGUGUAGGUCACAGAUGCAGCUCAGAUCAUGUGUUGCUGUGGCUGUGGUGUAGGCCCGCAGCUGUAGCUCUGAUUCAACCCCUAGCCUGGGAACCUCCAUAUGCGGCAGGUGCAGCCCUAAAAAAAGCAAAAAUAAAAUAAAAUGAAAAUAAAAUAAAAAUAGGAGUUCCUGCUGUAUCUCAGUGGGUUAAGGUCAUGAUAUCUGUA
ensembl:lncRNA